ensembl:lncRNA
CUCACAGAGUAAAGAAUCCUCCUGCAAUGCAGGAGACCCAGAUUCCAUCCCAAGGUCAGGAAGAUUCCUUGGAGAAGGAAAUGGCACCCCACUCCAGUAUUCUUGCCUGGAGGAUGCCAUGGACAGAGGAGCCUGGCAGGCUGUAGUCCAUGGGGUCACAAGAGUCAGACCUGACUGAACAACUAACACAGAUGAAAACCUUGGAAGUUGCCACUGCUGUCCCUACAACAAGAAAAAGCUGACCCAGCUGAAAAGCCAUGUCUGCUCUUGAAUCCAUCAGAGAACUGAGGUUUCAGGAAAAAUUGCCAGGCAAAAGUCUGAAGAGGCAAAUUCAUCCAGAGAGGCACAGUGACCAAGUGGUAUCUGACUCUUCAUGACUCCAUGGACUGCAGCACAUAACACUUCCCUGUACUUCACCAUCUCCUGGAGUUUGCCCAAGUUCAUGUCCAUUGCAUCAGUGAUGCCAUCCAACCAUCUCAUCCUCUGUUGCCUCUUCUCCUUCUGCCUUCAAUCUUUCCCAGCAUCAGGGUAUUUUUCAAUGAACCAGCUGUUCGCCUAGCAACGGAAAACAAAAGCAAAAACAUAGUCAACAGGGAUCAGAGGUUCAAGGAAAUAGGUUG